rnacentral:piRNA from 1 species
UAAGUUAUGGACAAGAUCGUUUCUGCGG